rnacentral:rRNA from 1 species
GAUGAACGCUGGCGGCGUGCCUAAUACAUGCAAGUCGAGCGAACGGACGAGAAGCUUGCUUCUCUGAUGUUAGCGGCGGACGGGUGAGUAACACGUGGAUAACCUACCUAUAAGACUGGGAUAACUUCGGGAAACCGGAGCUAAUACCGGAUAAUAUUUUGAACCGCAUGGUUCAAAAGUGAAAGACGGUCUUGCUGUCACUUAUAGAUGGAUCCGCGCUGCAUUAGCUAGUUGGUAAGGUAACGGCUUACCAAGGCAACGAUGCAUAGCCGACCUGAGAGGGCGAUGGGCCACACUGGAACUGAGACACGGUCCAGACGCCGACGGGAGGCAGAAGUAGGGAAUCUUCCGCAAUGGUCGGAAGCCUGACGGAGCAACGCCGCGUGAGUGAUGAAGGUCUUCGGAUCGUAAAACUCUGUUAUCAGGGAAGAACAAAUGUGUAAGUAACUAUGCACGGCUUGACGGGACCUAAUCAGAAAGCCACGGCUAACUACGUG